rnacentral:rRNA from 1 species
UAAUCCCUACGGGGCGCAGCAGUAGGGAAUAUUGCUCAAUGGGGGAAACCCUGAAGCAGCAACGCCGCGUGGAGGAUGAAGGUUUUAGGAUUGUAAACUCCUUUUGUUAGAGAAGAUUAUGACGGUAUCUAACGAAUAAGCACCGGCUAACUCCGUGCCAGCAGCCGCGGUAAUACGGAGGGUGCAAGCGUUACUCGGAAUCACUGGGCGUAAAGAGUGCGUAGGCGCGGCAAUCAGUCUGAUGUCAAAUCCU